GUUUGAUCAUGGCUCAGGAUGAACGCUAGCGGCAGGCCUAACACAUGCAAGUCGAGGGGUAGAGUUCUUCGGGACUUGAGACCGGCGCACGGGUGCGUAACGCGUAUGCAAUCUACCUUAUACAGGGGAAUAGCCCAGAGAAAUUUGGAUUAAUGCCCCAUAGUGUUAUCGAAUCGCAUGGUUUGAUAACUAAAGUUCCAACGGUAUAAGAUGAGCAUGCGCCCCAUUAGUUAGUUGGUAAGGUAACGGCUUACCAAGGCAACGAUGGGUAGGGGUCCUGAGAGGGAGAUCCCCCACACUGGUACUGAGACACGGACCAGACUCCUACGGGAGGCAGCAGUGGGGAAUAUUGGACAAUGGGCGAAAGCCUGAUCCAGCCAUGCCGCGUGUGUGAAGAAGGUCUUCGGAUUGUAAACUGCUUUUAUACAGGAAGAAACACUCCGACGUGUCGGAGCUUGACGGUACUGUAAGAAUAAGGAUCGGCUAACUCCGUG
rnacentral:rRNA from 1 species